GGAGCAUAAUGACCAAAGAAAUUCCGGGCCUUGUAUUUAACUAAUGGCUAUACUCUCUCCGCCAUUCUCUCUCUGUAUCCGUGUCAGACUUUUCUUGUGCUGCUCUCGAGAAUCGUGUACGCCCCACUGCUAGAUACCCACCUCCCUCUUUAUCCUUGCGCCCCUUUGGUUUGUUCCCUUCUUGCAAUGGAGUCCUCUACGAUCAUGGCUAGUAGAGCUACCACUUCCUCUGUUUUCUCCUUUUGUUCAAACCCAAAUUCUAAGAGUACCCAUGUGAAAUUUCUUGCUCAAAAACCUCCCAUACCGUUCUUCGAGACCCAUAAAUGCAAUCAAUCACUAAAAUCCAAUACCCAAAAUCUCGGCUCUCGUUUCGCCUGCUCUGCUGCGACCCUUUCGCCGUCUUCUACCACUGAGCUUGUUCCCUUUAAGCUUCAUCGCUUGAUUGAGGAAUUCGAGUCAAUAUCCGAGCCGGUCGAUAGAGUGAAACGGUUGCUACGUUAUGCGAGUCUUCUUCCUCCUUAUGGUGCGAGAAAUGACUCGAAUCGGGUCAUGGGGUGUACGGCACAGGUGUGGUUGGAAGUGAGGAUUGAUGAAGAGGGCAAGAUGAGGUUCGCUGCUGAUAGUGAUUCGGAAAUUUCUAAAGGGUUUUGCUCGUGUUUGAUUUCGGUGCUUGAUGGUGCGUUGCCAGAGGAUGUUCUUAGGUUGAAGACGGACGAUUUGGUGGCUCUGAAUGUGGGGUUGCCGGUUCGAGAGCGAUCGAGAGCAAACACUUGGUACAAUGUUUUGAUUAGUAUGCAAAAGAGAACUAAGGGUUUGAUUGCGGAGCUUGAAGGGAAAUCGCCAUUUCAGGCGUUUCCAUCUCUGGUUGUGAGUGCUGAUGGAAUUCAUGCUAAAGGAAGCUAUGCUGAAGCUCAGGCAAGAUAUUUGUUCCCAAAUGAUUCUAUGGUGAAAGAACUUGUCGAAGUUCUAAGGGAGAAGAAAAUUGGUGUUGUUGCACACUUUUACAUGGAUCCUGAAGUUCAAGGAGUCUUAACUGCUGCCCGGAAGGAAUGGCCUCACAUUUAUAUAUCUGAUUCAUUGGUAAUGGCAGAUAUGGCUGUCAAGAUGGCUAAAGAUGGAUGCCAAUUUGUAGCAGUACUUGGUGUAGAUUUCAUGUCAGAAAAUGUGCGUGCAAUUCUUGAUCAAGCUGGCUUUGGAGAGGUAGGUGUGUAUAGGAUGUCUGAUGAACAGAUCAGUUGUUCUUUAGCUGAUGCUGCUGCUACUCCUUCUUAUAUGAACUAUCUUGAAAUGGCUUCAAGGGAGGCUCCCUCCCUGCAUGUUAUCUACAUAAAUACAUCAUUAGAAACUAAAGCCUAUGCUCAUGAGCUUGUGCCUACAAUUACGUGUACUUCUUCUAAUGUCAUGCAAACAAUUUUGCAGGCUUUUGCUCAAGUACCAGAAUUAAAUGUUUGGUAUGGGCCUGAUUCCUACAUGGGUGCAAAUAUUGUAGAACUUUUGCAGCAGAUGACCAAGAUGACGGAUGACGAAAUUGCAAAGAUUCAUCCAAAUCAUAAUAGGGACUCGAUUAGAUCAUUGCUCCCUCGUCUGCACUACUAUCAGGAAGGUACAUGCAUUGUUCAUCAUCUUUUCGGGCACGAAGUUGUGGAGAAGAUAAAUGAAAUGUACUGUGACGCAUUCCUUACUGCUCACUUUGAAGUUCCUGGAGAAAUGUUUGUCUUAGCAAUGGAAGCAAAAAGAAGAGGAAUGGGAAUUGUAGGUUCCACCCAGAACAUAUUAGACUUCAUAAUACAAAGGGUGCAAGAAGCUUUAGACAGAAAUGUUAAUGAACAUCUACAAUUUGUGUUGGGAACAGAAUCUGGAAUGAUAACUUCAAUUGUUGCAGCUGUUCGUAAUUUAUUAAUUUCUUCAAAAACCACUUCUGGAGGAGCAAAGAUCAAUGUAGAGAUUGUCUUUCCUGUGUCGUCGGAUUCAGUGACAAGCACAUCAUCAAGUUCGUCCCCCGGCCAAAAAUUGGUUGCGCUCGGUGAGAUCAAUUUACUUGUAGUACCUGGAGUUUCGAGUGGGGAGGGAUGUUCUAUUCAUGGUGGCUGUGCAUCUUGUCCAUACAUGAAGAUGAAUUCUCUCAGCUCUCUUAUGAAAGUUUGUCAAGAUCUUCCCCAUAACAAAGCUGCUAUCUCAGCUUAUGAAGCCAAGAGAUUCAAACUGCACACAGUAACUGGAAAAUCAGUUGCAGAUAUUGGAUGCGAACCAAUUUUGCACAUGAGAGAGUUCCAGGCUGGAAAACAGCUGCCGGAGAAACUUGUUCAUCAGAUCAUGAACCGGUAAUAUCAAUGGUGACAGUUUCAGCAAGUCAAUCGGCUGCUGUUGUCCAAGGAUGAUUCUCUCUUCACUCACUUCUCAGCAACAAAUGAGUGAACUUGUAAUUGUGCAGCACUCACUUCUCAGCAACAAGUGAGUUAAGUCAAUUCGUUCUUGUGUCGCCUACGACCAAGCGAUAUAUGCUCGAGCCUCUAGCCCGGUUCAAGGAGAAAGUUUUAGAAAACGGGGGUAGAGAGAUUUCGAAAGAGAGUUUUGAAAGAUUGAAAUUGGUGUUAUAUGUGAUGCAAGCAAAAAGGUAGCAAUAACGACAGCAUAUAACUAUCGGGUAGGAAGAAGUUGACAACUAGUUAUAUCUCCCUAUAGUACAUUUUGGGGUAUUUUUGCCCCGGUGUAGAUGUGAUUCUGGU